rnacentral:rRNA from 1 species
GUCUACAACCAUACCAGCCUGAAAACUCCUGAUCUUGUCUGAUCUUGGAAGCGAAGCAGGGUGGAUUCUGGUUAGUAGUUGGAUGGGAUAAUAUAGAAGAAAGAGAAAUUCCAGUCA